rnacentral:rRNA from 1 species
AUACGUAGGGGGCAAGCGCUAUCCGGAAUUACUGGGUGUAAAGGGCGUGUAGGCGGGCUGUUAAGUCAGAUGUGAAAUUCCCGGGCUUAACCUGGGCGCUGCAUUUGAAACUGAUGGUCUUGAGUGCUGGAGAGGAAAGCGGAAUUCCUAGUGUAGCGGUGAAAUGCGUAGAUAUUAGGAGGAACACCAGUGGCGAAGGCGGUCAACUGGCCUGUGACUGACGCUCAGUCACGAAAGCGUGGGGAGC